rnacentral:rRNA from 1 species
CCUACGGGAGGCAGCAGUGGGGAAUAUUGGACAAUGGGGGGAACCCUGAUCCAGCGACGCCGCGUGAGUGAAGAAGUAUUUCGGUAUGUAAAGCUCUAUCAGCAGGGAAGAAAGAAAUGACGGUACCUGACCAAGAAGCCCCGGCUAACUACGUGCCAGCAGCCGCGGUAAUACGUAGGGGGCAAGCGUUAUCCGGAUUUACUGGGUGUAAAGGGAGCGUAGACGGUGAAGCAAGUCUGAAGUGAAAGGCGGGGGCCCAACCCCCGGACUGCUUUGGAAACUGUUUGACUGGAGUGCAGGAGAGGUAAGUGGAAUUCCUAGUGUAGCGGUGAAAUGCGUAGAGAUCAGGAGGAAUACCAGUGGCGAAGGCGACCUGCUGGAACAUAACUGACGCUGAGGCGCGAAAGCGUGGGGAGCAAACAGGAUUAGAUACCCGUGUAGUC